GGUCUCGCUUUGGCAGCCCAUAUACUAAAACCGGAACCAUAUAGAGAAGGUUAGUAUGGCCCCUGCGCAAGGAUGACACGCGAAUUCCUGAAGCGUUCCAUAUUUUG
ensembl:snRNA U6 U6 spliceosomal RNA